GGAGUGGUAUCGAAGUGGUCAUAACGAGGCGCACUCGAAAUGCGUUAGCUCUGAAUAAGGGCCCGUGGGUUCGAAUCCCACUCACUCCG
rnacentral:tRNA from 1 species